CCUACGGGUGGCAGCAGUGGGGAAUAUUGGGCAAUGGGCGCAAGCCUGACCCAGCAACGCCGCGUGAAGGAAGAAGGCUUUCGGGUUGGAAACUUCUUUUCUCAGGGACGAAGAAAGUGACGGUACCGGAGGAAUAAGCCACGGCUAACUACGGGCCAGCAGCCGCGGUAAUACGGAGGUGGCAAGCGUUAUCCGGAUUUAAUGGGUGUAAAGGGCGUGUAGGCGGGAACGCAAGUCAGAUGUGAAAACUCCGGGGUCAACCCUGGGCCUGCAUUUGAAACUGGGUUUCUUGAGUGCUGGAGAGGCAAGCGGAAUUCCGGGUGUAGCGGUGAAAUGCGUAGAUAUACGGAGGAACACCAGUGGCGAAGGCGGAUUGCUGGACAGUAACUGACGCUGAGGCGCGAAAGUGCGGGGAGCAAACAGGAUUAGAUACCCUAGUAGUC
rnacentral:rRNA from 1 species